CCAUGUGUCUGUGUAACUGUUGCUAACAAACAUUGCAUUAUUGAUCAAAAAAUUGUUGACCAAUGUUAUUUUAUAUUUUUUUAAGAGUAAAACAAAUGUACACAAAUAUUUCCUUGUUACUAAUUAUGAGAUUUUCAGGUAGCGUGUGGAGAUUUCAUCUUAUGUUCAUGAGCGCACAACGUAUAAAAUCAUAAAUGUUUUCUGUUGGUGUGUAGCAGUUAACCGCAUUUAAGUAAAAAUAUUUUAAAAUAAUUUUUACCAGAGCUGAAUUACAUUCAGGUGAGUGCACUUAAUAUAAUUUGGGGUAUUGCAGGAAAAAUUAUAAAUUCCUAAAGUGUUUUUUCCUGACAUGUUUAAAAUUAUUAUUCUCUAUGAGGGUUGUUUGAUACUGCAAGUAGUUUAUCAUGUUUAACAUGUGGAUAGGUUAGGAUUAUUUAUUACAAAUCUGUAAUAUUGAGAUACUGCCCUUGGGUUAGCUGGAUUAAAAAUACAGUGAAAUUUGUUAGGUUAGUAACAUUAUACGUACAGUGAUUCUAAGUACAGUGGAAUUUAUAUUUGGUUAGCUUCGGAUAGCGCCAAUUAAAAAUUCUGUAAAAUCAAUUGAACGGUUGGAUGUUACUAACUUAAUCUAACCAACCAAUAUACAUUUUACAGUGAUUUUUUAAUUUAUCAUCUCACGUUGCUGCUUUUUGUAUGCAAAAUAAACUUUGGACACUUUUUUUUAAACUUUAAAUAUGUACCUGUAUUUACUCUGAAAAAAGUUUUUCUAAAUUCAGACUGGGUUUUGAGAAAUCACUGUUUAUAGGUUACAUUACAUUACCUGUGCAGUAAAGGGCCUGUCACCAUGUUGUUCUUUAAUUGAGUUGCUGAUCCUGUUUUUUUUUAUACACAAAUUGUAUAUUUUUUAUUUGGAUAUUGCAAUGCAUAAACGUAAAUUAACACAUUAAAAAAGUUAUGUGACUCCUUAUUGUGCAUUCCAAACCCAAAGCAUCAGUCCUUGAGAGCAAUAUUUUUUAAUAACCUGACAUAUAAAAUAAAUUUUCAUUUUGUAACAAAUGAUUCCUUUUAUAUGUCAGGUUACGUGCUAUUGCAGGUAACUAAUCUGCGCUUUGCGCCUCCAUACUGCUAUAAAAAAUCCCUGUCAAGGGUUGGCGUUUUGGUUUGGAUACACAUUAGAGACUCGUAACUUUUUUUAAACUAUUAUUUAUGUUUCAUUAGGUUAUAAUAUUCAAAUAAAAAAUAUAUACAUUCUUAUAUAUAUGGAAAACCACAGGAUCUGCAAUGCAAUUAGAGGGAAAAAUGGCGACAGCUACUUCACUGCAUAAGCUAUCUAGUGUGACCUGCAAAAUGUGAUUUCUUGAAAACCAGUAGGAAUUAAGAAAAACUGUUUACAGUUUUAAUAGAGGAAGGUUUUUAGCGUCUGAAAAGGUAUUUUCAAAAUUUUAUAAUUUAAUUUAUGGAUAAGCAGCAACAAAAGAAAAUUACCUUUUUUUAAAUUUAGCUAACCAACCAUUCACAUGAUUUUACAAAUUUUGUAUUGUUUAUACUUACCUGCUUUAACAUUAAACUACUGUUAAACAAUUUAUUUCAAUUUUUUAAAAAUAUCUUUGGGAAUUAGCGCAGUAUAAUUGAAGACGUUUACUGUAUAAUACAGUAAUUGAUGAUUGAUUUACUUUAUUGAUGCACAACGAAGUUGUAUAAUUGUUGGAUUGGUUAAGCAAAUUCAAGCAUCAAGGGUACUGAUCAAUGGUUUUUAACAUUAUGUUUUCUUAAUGAGUCCAUUGGUAAAACGUUAAAACACUGGAAUGGCUAAAUUUCCAUUGACUGCUUAUGUUUUUUUCCGCAUGCUCACUUGAAAACAAUUACAGGGUUAUACUGUAGUUCACAGUUGCAAUACUUGGUUAGGUUAGUUACAUAAGUGCUGUUAAAUCAUGAAAAUGGUUAGGGAAAGGUAACUUCUUCAUAACUACUGUAAAAUGGUGUAAGCAAUUAUUCUUUAGGUAAGUUUUACCUAGACUUUAAAAAAUAAUUUAUUUGGCGAAGUACAUAGUACUAAGAAUUACUAUUUAUCAAAUUUGGUUUGUGUGGAAAAGUUGUUACUCUAGGAAAUUUCUGAAUCCAUCUUUGUGGGAAUAUAAACUAAUAUUAUUAGAAACAAAAAAAAAAAACAAUGUGUGGUAUAUUUUAAUUUUCUAACACCCUCUGAACUCUGCAGUUAUGCGAUUACCGAUAAUAAUUGUAAAUCAUUGCAAUAUACAUCCGACACAUCUUGUAGUGAUUUCACAACUGUACUAUGAAGUAAUGCCAUCGACUGCUGCAAAAUAACAUGCUGACAUCUAUUCUCGUGUAGGCAUUUUGUUGAUACGACUAAAAUAUGACCAUAUAGGAUAUAUAUAUAGAAUCUUACAAAUUUUGAUAACCUACCUACUAAUACUCUCCCCGAAGACUUUGGUUAUGCAUUACGUGAAAUUAAUUCAACUUGUAAACAUUUUGCUUGAGUCAAAGCCUAGAUUUGCUUAAGCUAAUAACAAGCAAUUACAUCACUUGAGGCCCUGAGAAACAUACUUCUGAAAUUGUGUAGUUACUUGGAUUGUUAAAUACCUAGUUUUUCUGCAAUAAUGGGCACAAGAGCAAUAGAAUUAUGUUUUUCAUAUAAUUUUUUUCACAUAAAUGAGUUUUUGUCAAAAAGUAUUUGGAAAAAAAUAUCUGUUAGUGUUUGAAAGGACAAAGAAAAAUGUUAAUUGUAGUACAUAAAUGAGAAUUUACCAAAAUAUUGAAAGUGUCAAAUUUCUAACUAAAAUGGUUUUGAAAUUAAUUUAUCAUUCUCGUAUGCAUAACUUUUUUCUUUGAUACAUUUAUUUAUCAGUUUCAUUUCUCUUUAGUACAAUAUCUAUCAUUUAACUUUGAUUUAUUUUUUGUUUCAGGCUUGUGGAGAACAGCUUUUUUUUAUCUACUGUUUGGCUGGCCAAUGUAAAUAAACAAUGAUUUCAUGAAUGCAGCGAGAGAGUUUAUUUGAUGUAUUUUAAAAUCACUGAUAUUUAUUGAUGUAUUUUAAAAUCACUGAUAAUAUUUAUUGAUGUAUUUUAAAAUUACUGAUAAUAUUUGUUUUGUGGCUGGAAGAUGGUAACCAUGGUGACUUGUGAAUUUUUAUGAAGAUUAAUAAAAAGCAGUAAAAAUUAUUAA